rnacentral:rRNA from 1 species
GAUGAACGCUGGCGGCGUGCCUAAUACAUGCCAGUCGAACGAAACUUCUUUAUCACCGAGUGCUUGCACUCACCGAUAAAGAGUUGAGUGGCGAACGGGUGAGUAACACGUGGGCAACCUGCCCAAAAGAGGGGGAUAACACUUGGAGACAGGUGCUAAUACCGCAUAACCAUAGUUACCGCAUGGUAACUAUGUAAAAGGUGGCUAUACUACCGCUUUUGGAUGGGCCCGCGGCGCAUUAGCUAGUUGGUAGGGUAAAGGCUUACCAAGGCAAUGAUGCGUAGCCGAAUUGAGAGGUUGAUCGGCCACAUUGGGACUGAGACACGGCCCAAACUCCUACGGGAGGCAGCAGUAGGGAAUCUUCCACAAUGGGCGAAAGCCUGAUGGAGCAACGCCGCGUGGGUGAAGAAGGUCUUCGGAUCGUAAAACCCUGUUGUUAGAGAAGAAAGUGCGUGAGAGUAACUGUUCACGUUUCGACGGUAUCUAACCAGAAAGCCACGGCUAACUACGUG